ACAACACCCUGAGCUUCCUUUCGCUCCACACCUCCCCCCCCCAAACCCCCCCUCUCGGGGGUCGCGGCGGUUGCAGCGCAGGGCGGUUCCGUCCAGAUCCCACGUGGGGACGAACUUCAGAGCCACCGCGACCCCCCCCCACGGUCGGCCGUCGGGGGAGAGAAGGGGGGGAGGAGGAGGGGGUCGUCGUCGUUCCCUUCGUUGCGGGGGGGGGCGGGGGGGGGUGGUGGGAACCGUCUGAGUCCCCUUUCGUUCCGCUGCAGCCCCUUCCCAUGUCAGGAUGGGGGGGGCUUCAUCCGGGCAUCCCGGGGGGGUCCAACAGCCACCUCCAAUCCGGCUGCCGCCGCGUCGCGUUGGCCAACAGCCGCAUCCCAUAAUUCCCCGCGUCCUCCACCGUCACCGCCGGCAGCGCCAUACUGCAAUCCCCCUCCGCGCCGCCGGGGGGCGCCACCAACCGCCCCCUCGUGGCGCUCCGCGGGUCGCUGGAGGCCAAUAAAGGGCCGCGGAAGUCCCCAUAGGGGCGGCUGAAAAUGGGGUCCCGCAGCCACCGCAGUGUGGGG
ensembl:lncRNA